GUCGAGAAUCUUUCACAAUGGGGGCAACCCUGAUGGAGCGACGCCGCGUGGAGGAUAAGGUCUUCGGAUUGUAAACUCCUGUCAUGCGUGAACAAGGUUGCUUGGAUAAUACCUGAGCAAAUUGAUGGUAGCGCAAGAGGAAGAGACGGCUAACUCUGUGCCAGCAGCCGCGGUAAUACAGAGGUCUCAAGCGUUGUUCGGAAUCACUGGGCGUAAAGGGUGCGUAGGUGGCGUGGCAAGUCAGAUGUGAAAGCCCGGGGCUCAACCUCGGAACUGCAUCCGAUACUGCCAUGCUAGAGUACUGGAGGGGUGACUAGAAUUCUCGGUGUAGCAGUGAAAUGCGUAGAUAUCGAGAGGAAUACCAAAGGCGUAGGCAGGUCACUGGACAGUUAUUGACACUGAGGCACGAAGGCCAGGGGAGCGAACGGGAUUAGAUACCCCGGUAGUCC
rnacentral:rRNA from 1 species